AUCCACGGAAGCUGUGCUGCACUCAAGGGAUUUGCAGAAAAACAUGCUAGGCCUUUUGUGCUGUUUGGAAGGUACCAGUGACAUCCAAGAGACAAUCGAUUACAUGCAUGUGAAUCCUUUUCAAGGACAGUGACAACGUCAUUCUUCUCAUCCUCAAAGCACUUGCAAAAAGAUACUAGAUGGAGGGGAGCCCAAAGCUUCAAAGAAAAUUCGUAACAGACAAUAACUUGAUUAAAACCUGAUUCCUUUAAAAGUUCUUACUCCUGGCACGUCAUGGUACUUCUUUCUGCCAGCAGUGAAUGCCAGCCCAUUGAGAUGCCCGUCCUCUGGGAAGCUCCUGGAGCAGGAAUGCAUGGCCAAUGAGAGGAGACUUCUUGCAAAGGAAAACUAGAUGUGGUGAUAUCCAGAAAAAGCAGACACAAGAAGCAAAUACAGAGUAUUAGUACUGCGAUGUUUGAAAUGCAUGGCCCUGGCUGUGUCCCUCUUACACUGUCUAGUGGACAGGACAGCAUCUGAUGUUAACUUUUCCUGGUAUCAUUGAUGACAUGGACUUAAUUUCUUCACAGGAAACCUUGCUAACUUUGAAAAAUGAGUUGGCUGUGACUGUGGAACUCUUUCUGGGUUCUCUGUACCAUGUUUGGGUGCAGUUGAAGCUUGAGCAGUCAGGUGGUCUCCACCCUAUUUUUAUUCUGACAAUCAACGUCUCUUGGUUCCAUGCAUAUUUCCUUACUCCUAUUUCUUUAGGAUGAUAAACAGGUUUUCGUUUGAUACUCAGCUUUUUUCCCUAGGUGCAUGUUGAUUCCUAUAAACUCUAGCACUGCUUCCGCUGUAUCCCAU
ensembl:lncRNA